GAUGAACGCUAGCGGCGUGCUUAACACAUGCAAGUCGAGCGGAAAGGCCCUUCGGGGUACUCGAGCGGCGAACGGGUGAGUAACACGUGGGUAACCUGCCCUUCACACUGGGAUAACUCCGGGAAACCGGGGCUAAUACCGGAUACGACCACUUUAGGCAUCUUCGGUGGUGGAAAGUUUUUCGGUGGAGGAUGGACCCGCGGCCUAUCAGCUUGUUGGUGGGGUAAUGGCCUACCAAGGCAGUGACGGGUAGCCGGCCNGAGAGGGCGACCGGCCACACUGGGACUGAGACACGGCCCAGACUCCUACGGGAGGCAGCAGUGGGGAAUAUUGCGCAAUGGGCGGAAGCCUGACGCAGCGACGCCGCGUGAGGGAUGACGGCCUUGGUUG
rnacentral:rRNA from 1 species